rnacentral:lncRNA from 1 species
CAACACUCACAUAUCACAAAAUUAAUAUAUAUCUUGAUUUUGAAAAAAUGACAGAAUCUUUGUGGUAUAAAAUAAACCAUUUGAAGGGUUGAAAAGUUAUGUCAUGUGACAUAAUAUAAACUGUUAUAAAAAGAGUAAAGAUAAACACUACUAUUAGAGUAACAACAACUGCUACCACUAAAGAGAUUAAAAAUUAAACUUCAACUAAAUCCUUUUUGAGGUCUUUCAGAGGCAGUUCAACUCUGUAUGAACAUAAAGCUCAACUUUUUGCUCCGGGUUUUAUAAGGUUACCCACUUUGAGUAUAUCAUUAUUAUCAUUCAUGCAUUUUUUUUUCAUUUAGUGUUUUUAUUUUAUGAUUUGUUGUUUCAUUUCUAGUCUAAUGGAUAUUUUUUUAAUUAUGGAUUUGGGGUUGAGAUGGAGAUGAAGAUGAAAAUGAAGACGAAGGGAAUUUGUAAUUGGAUGAUGAGGAUCAACUAAGUGACAUCGAUCUUUGGUUUGAUGGACGAGCUUAUUUGUACUAGAUUCUGAUUAUGUACCAUGAUCAAAGCAUAGGAAGGAAGUAGGGAAUACUAAUCUUUAUUUUUUAUACAUCUAUUUGACUUUAUUUAAGGGAACGAAAACAUGAACUUCAUUGUUUAUACACCCACCACAGUGUUUAUCAUUUUGGUUUAUCAGUUUAUGAUUUGGAACUUUAGUUUUGUUGAAUUUGGUAUAAGACAUAAAAUUACAUAUUAGCUUAUAUAAAUUGUUCUUCACUUGCUAUGUGAGUGUUAAUUAUGUUGUUUCUUUGAAGAUUGUGAAAUAUGUAUACAAACUCCUAAUUUCAGUAUAUUUUGUAUUAAUGACAUAGAUCAAAGUGGUUUUCACAACAUUUGUGAGCUCUCAUAUCUUUGUUGAAAAUGUUUACACUUUUGCACUGCUUUGCUUCUUAUUUUAAUUGUAAAUUUACUACUAUUAUAUUUUUGCUUUAUUUUAUUUUACUUUUUUACUAUAAGAAAUGAGUAUUGUGGUUCUCUUUGGAA